GCGAUCGUGGUCUAGUGGCAUGAUUCAACCUUGCCAAGGUUGUGGCCCGGGUCCGAUUCCCGGCGGUCGCA
rnacentral:tRNA from 1 species